AUUAUUUCCUUUAGCAUGCACAAUGGAUCCCCGAAAUAAUAUUUCGGGAACUAAAUAUGUAAUUGAUCAGAUCAAUAAAGCUUUAAUACUUGAUACACCUAUCACCUAUAAGAAUUUAGAGCAAACAUUAUGUGGAAUGUAUGAUUUAUAUGCGGAAAGAAUGAGUGCGAAUGUUAGUCGGGUACCCUCUACUGCACCUACUCCUUCUGCUGAAACUGAAGAAGAUGCUGCGGAAAUAAUGAAUUCAUUCAGGGUAUUAAUACAUUUAGAUAUGAUGCAACUGCAAUGUGUUCAUUUAGUGUCAUGUCGUCUACAUCCGCAUCUCAUCAAACAUCGGCCGAAAUUUAAAAUACGAUGCCAGCCGAAUUAAUUAAUUAUUUCAAUCAUAAUAUGCCAACAGAUAGAACAAUUAAAAAAACUUCAGAAGAAGUAAUUGAAUUAUGGCGAAAGUAUGAAAGAUAUUGGCCAAUUGUUUCUGGAAUUACGAAAGAUCUAUUGACACAUCCGGUUAGCACUGUUGCUUCGGAGUCUACUUUUAGUGCAGGUAAAAGAGUUUUGACCGAUGUCAGGAGUCGACUGAAAGAAGAUGUUUUGAAAGUGUUAAUGUAUGUGAAGGAUUGGCAGGAUGCUCAUUUUCGACUACAAGAUAAAUACGCUGAAAUUGCUUGUCGUCGGCUAAG
rnacentral:lncRNA from 1 species